rnacentral:rRNA from 1 species
GGGGAUAAAGUGAGGGACGCGUCCCUUUUUGCAGGUACCGCAUGAAUAAGGACCGGCUAAUUCCGUGCCAGCAGCCGCGGUAAUACGGAAGGUCCGGGCGUUAUCCGGAUUUAUUGGGUUUAAAGGGAGCGUAGGCCGGGGAUUAAGUGUGUUGUGAAAUGUAGGCGCCCAACGUCUGACUUGCAGCGCAUACUGGUUCCCUUGAGUACGCGCAACGCCGGCGGAAUUCGUCGUGUAGCGGUGAAAUGCUUAGAUAUGACGAAGAACCCCGAUUGCGAAGGCAGCCGGCGGGAGCGCAACUGACGCUGAAGCUCGAAGGUGCGGGUAUCGAACAGGAUUAGAUACCCUGGUAGUCCGCACGGUAAACGAUGGAUGCCCGCUGUCGGCGCCUUGCGCCGGCGGCCAAGCGAAAGCGUUAAGCAUCCCACCUGGGGAGUACGCCGGCAACGGUGAAACUCAAAGGAAUGGACGGGGGCCCGCACAAGCGGAGGAACAUGUGGUUUAAUUCGAUGAUACGCGAGGAACCUUACCCGGGCUUGAAUUGCAGGAGAACGAAACAGAGAUGUUGAGGUCCUUCGGGACUCCUGCGAAGGUGCUGCAUGGUUGUCGUCAGCUCGUGCCGUGAGGUGUCGGCUUAAGUGCCAUAACGAGCGCAACCCCUCUCCCCAGUUGCCAUCGGGUGAUGCCGGGCACUCCGGGGAC